rnacentral:tmRNA from 1 species
CCCCUUACAUUCACGGGCAGGAUCGCCUAUAUCCUCUCUGCCAGCUUGCUGGCUAUGGCGAUAAACGGUGCGUGGAAUAAGCGUUGUGGACCCGGGGGCAGUGCCCGGCGCCUCCACCAAUUAAGCUGUCGGUGCGGCCUUCCCUCCUUGGGGUUGGUGGGCUUCGCGGCCCAAUGGGGGCGAAACAGGUUCGACACGCGUGGUAAAGACCCAUCUUUUGCUCGGCAUGGUACCGCCGUUAUCGGACCAACACACAAGUGCCAAUGACAAUCAGGCGCUCGCCGUCGCUGCAUAAGCGAUAGGCGCGGUUCGGGGGGCACCGGGCAACAGAAGCCCCCCACU